rnacentral:rRNA from 1 species
ACCAGACUCCUACGGGAGGCAGCAGUGGGGAAUAUUGGGCAAUGGGCGCAAGCCUGACCCAGCAACGCCGCGUGAAGGAAGAAGGCUUUCGGGUUGUAAACUUCUUUUCUGAGGGACGAAGCAAGUGACGGUACCUUAGGAAUAAGCCACGGCUAACUACGUGCCAGCAGCCGCGGUAAUACGUAGGUGGCAAGCGUUAUCCGGAUUUAUUGGGUGUAAAGGGCGUGUAGGCGGGAAUGCAAGUCAGAUGUGAAAACUAUGGGCUCAACCCAUAGCCUGCAUUUGAAACUGUAUUUCUUGAGUGCUGGAGAGGCAAUCGGAAUUCCGUGUGUAGCGGUGAAAUGCGUAGAUAUCAGGAGGAACACCGGCGGCGAAGGCGGCCUGCUGGACCGUGACUGACGUUGAGGCUCGAGAGCGUGGGGAGCAAACAGGAUUAGAUACCCUCGUAAU